rnacentral:lncRNA from 1 species
GAUGGGUGCUCCCAUGGGGAAUGCUCACAGUUCCCAAGGGUGACGGUGCAAUGGCAGAAUUACUCUAAGGCCGAAAGGCUCUGAAGUGAUCACCCAAGUUCUGUGAGGGGCCUUAUUAACCCCUUCCAAGGAGACUGACAUUAUUUAGGAGUUGUCUAGGGGAGUACCAGAUGAGGCAGGGGGGUUCUUCUGAGGGGUACGUUGGGUGACAUUUUUGUCUCCUGCUGAGACACAGCACCAAGGAUGCACGAACCGGCAGUUGCAUGGACACCACCACCCCCCCAGGCUCCUGAGCGGUGCCUGCAGUUGCCACCUGUGCUUCACACAUGAGGAGGGGACAGCUGGAUCAGGAACCGCCACACACAGCCCAGGAGAUUGGGGAACUUGGCCUCAGGGGUCUCACACCAGCUCAGCAGCCCCCUCAGCUAAAUGGCCCCAGUGAGAGGCCACCUUGGCGGGGAACCAGAGAAAGAUCCUGAAGUGCAGCGAGGCACUGUCGGAAGACCCAAGAAGACAUCUUGGGGAAAGUGAAUAAAAGAGAUUCCUGCCAAUGAGGAUCUGGGACAGCCCCGGUGCCUUGGCCCUGAUGGUGCCGUCUGCCUCUCAGGACCUGACUGCCUAAGUGCUCCUCGACGGGGACUUCUUGGGGAAUGGACUCUGAUUAAAUGACCCUCGGCUUUCCAAGGAGCUUCCUUCUGCACGUAAGCAUUGUUGGGAGACCUGUGAAGGGCGGCUUCCUGAUGGAGAGGGACCCAAAAGAGCUCCAGCCCAUGGCACA